AUUGAACGCUGGCGGCAGGCCUAACACAUGCAAGUCGAGCGAGCGGCGGACGGGUGAGUAAUGUCUGGGAAACUGCCCGAUGGAGGGGGAUAACUACUGGAAACGGUAGCUAAUACCGCAUACCAUCGGAUGUGCCCCUAUGGGAGUAGCUAGUAGGUGGGGUAAUGGCUCACCUAGGCGACGAUCGCUAGCUGGUCUGAGAGGAUGACCAGCCACACGGGGACUGAGAAACGGCCCAGACUCCUACGGGAGGCAGCAGUGGGGAAUAUUGCACAAUGGGCGCAAGACUGAUGCAGCCAUGCCGCGUGUAUGAAGAAGGCCUUAGGGUUGUAAAGUACUUUCAGCGAGGAGGCGUUACCCGCAGAAGAAGCACCGGCUAACUCCGUGCCAGCAGCCGCGGUAAUAC
rnacentral:rRNA from 1 species